UCAGUGCACUUGCUUCCAAACAGGUUUCCAGUUCAAGAUCACCCGUGCCUGUUCUCCAUGCAGUGUGGAGUUGUGUUAGGAAGGGCAUCUAGUGUAA